CCUACGGGAGGCAGCAGUGGGGGAUAUUGCACAAUGGGGGAAACCCUGAUGCAGCGACGCCGCGUGAGUGAAGAAGUAUUUCGGUAUGUAAAGCUCUAUCAGCAGGGAAGAAAAUGACAGUACCUGACCAAGAAGCCCCGGCUAACUACGUGCCAGCAGCCGCGGUAAUACGUAGGGGGAAAGCGUUAUCCGGAUUUACUGGGUGUAAAGGGAGCGUAGACGGGUAUGUAAGUCUGGAGGGAAAGCCCGGGGCCCAACCCCGGGACUGCUUUGGAAACUAUGUAACUGGAGUUAGGGAGGGGCAGGCGGAAUUCCUUGUGUAGCGGUGAAAUGCGUAGAUAUCAGGAGGAACACCGACGGCGAAGGCGGCCUACUGGACUGAAACUGACGUUGAGGCUCGAAAGCGUGGGGAGCAAACAGGAUUAGAUACCCUAGUAGUC
rnacentral:rRNA from 1 species